AAAUAUGUUUCUCUUUAUCUUCAGUUAGAAAUGCUCUGCAUUUCAUCUUCAAUCAUCCUCAAAUGGUGAGAUUCAAUCAUUAUAAUAUCGUAUCAGAGCCAGAAUUUAGCUUCCUCACGAUCUCAGCUUUCGAUCGAUGUUACCCACACCCGUUUUCUCUGAGGAAUUUACACGAUGUUUCAUUCGCCAAAAAAUUAGGGCUUUUCCCGAUUUCAUAGCCAUUCAAGCUGCUUCUUCUUGUAUGUGUGCUUAGGACGAUUCAAAUCCAGAUCGGCC
rnacentral:lncRNA from 1 species